rnacentral:rRNA from 1 species
UCCUACGGGGGGCAGCAGUGAGGAAUAUUGGUCAAUGGGCGGAAGCCUGAACCAGCCAAGUCGCGUGAGGGAAUAAGGCCCUACGGGUCGUAAACCUCUUUUGCCGGGGAGCAAGGGCGGGGACGUGUCCCGGCCCGGAGAGUACCCGGAGAAAAAGCAUCGGCUAACUCCGUGCCAGCAGCCGCGGUAAUACGGAGGAUGCGAGCGUUAUCCGGAUUUAUUGGGUUUAAAGGGUGCGUAGGCGGGCUUUUAAGUCAGCGGUAAAAAUUCGGGGCUCAACCCCGUCGGGCCGUUGAAACUGGGGG